rnacentral:rRNA from 1 species
UGGGGAAUAUUGGACAAUGGGCGCAAGCCUGAUCCAGCCAUGCCGCGUGAGUGAUGAAGGCCCUAGGGUUGUAAAGCUCUUUCACCGGUGAAGAUAAUGACGGUAACCGGAGAAGAAGCCCCGGCUAACUUCGUGCCAGCAGCCGCGGUAAUACGAAAGGGGCUAGCGUUGUUCGGAUUUACUGGGCGUAAAGCGCACGUAGGCGGACUUUUAAGUCAGGGGUGAAAUCCCGGGGCUCAACCCCGGAACUGCCUUUGAUACUGGAAGUCUUGAGUAUGGUAGAGGUGAGUGGAAUUCCGAGUGUAGAGGUGAAAUUCGUAGAUAUUCGGAGGAACACCAGUGGCGAAGGCGGCUCACUGGACCAUUACUGACGCUGAGGUGCGAAAGCGUGGGGAGCAAACAGG